AGUAGUGCGCACUGAAUGCUUUCUCGGUGCAGAGCACUGUACUAAACAUUAGGAGGGCACAUAGGAGUAAACACAAUCUCUGCCCUCAAGGAGCUUACCAUCUAGCUGGGGAGACAGACACUAAAAACGAAUCACAGGUAAGGGCAGACACCCCAGCAUCACUUCCAGAAGCAAUGGGUUAAGGAGCAACUCUGCCUCUGGCAGGGGUUGCCGCAUUUCCCUCACAGUUGGCCCCGAAUUGCACUGUGAUGAAACGAUGCAGGGUGUAAAUUUUUUUUUUCUGGUGUUACACAUAUAAAUAUCCUGAAUGUGAACAUUUUGGUUACCGGGUUGCUGUGGUGAUGAGAAGUUUUGCAGGAGCUAGUGGGAGUGAGCCAUUUCAUGGCAUUCAGCCCCGAUUCAAUUCCACAACUGUUGUCCCACUGAGAUAAGGCUGAGCCACCCGUUCUGCUCUCUUCCCUGAACAGGUGGCCAGGAAGCAGAAACUGAGCUUUUCUUGACGUGUGUCCCUGGGGUAGCCUGACUUUGUAUUCGGAGAAGACACCGCUGAUGGCCUGCCGUGUCUUGUGUCCAUCAGCAUCAGGAGUUCAGGACCUCGUGGACAUGACUGAAUCACUCAACUCUUAUACCUGGGUUAAAGCCCCCUUUCUUCCACAGCUCCUCCUUCCCUGUUUACUAGCGUUCUUUCCCUUUUUUUUUUUUUGUUUAGUUUAAUUUAAUGGCUAAUGAGAGUUAAUUACAGUGAUUGCACAGUGAGUUUCUUCCUAUUCCCGCUACUUCUCCUCUGGGAUUCUUAACUUGGAGCACACAGCCACAGCCUGGCUGCUGUCAGCUCAAACCGGUGGCCAUUGUUUUUGAAAAAUAAAGCCAAUGAUUCAUGAAAGACAUUCAAGACUCGGCAUUAUCCCUUCCCUUUUUUGGUUUCUGAGAAAGAAUUCCCACCCUUGUCCCUAGCUGGAAUUUUGUUCAGUCCUUUUGGAAGGAGUGACAUUUUUUGCAGACUGCCAGGAUCCAAGCCUCAGAAAUUUACAGGUCACACUAUCCUGCUGCUGCUGUUGGCUUUUUUUGCUCUCUUCGGAGUUAUCAUUACAUGGGUCUCGGGGCAUCUUUCAUAAACACAUUGUUCUUUCCACUUUUUCACUGGGCACAGUCUGAUAUUCUAAACUGAAUGUGCUGUGUUGUCACUGGGUCUUUAAUUUCAUCACUUUUUUUGUCUGAUUUCCUCUGGAAAGAAAGCUAUCAAAUUGUCCCUUCCCCUUCCUAUAUGCCCUCUGCUAAUUACAGCUGAUACUGGAGAUUUCAAACCAAGUAGGCAGCCGAUCAGGGCCCAAAGCAUACUCAUUACAGUUAAGCACUUUUCAAAU
rnacentral:lncRNA from 1 species